rnacentral:lncRNA from 1 species
GCUUCCAUCAUUCUUUUUAGAGCUUCAAGUCUACCUCUUCUGGUAUCCAUCUUUACUCUGCAACUUCCUCCAUCUUACAGCCUAAAUUGACUAAUAGCAUUCACAUAUGAGCUCAACACAAUGCUCUGACUCAUUUUAAAGUGAAAAAGAAGAGAAGGGAAAAAUUUGUACUUCACAUGGUACUGCAAUGAGGGCUAAAGGGUUGACCUGUAACUUUGUAACUAACUGAAGCAUGAGAAAUCUGCAUAACGAAAUGCAUGAAAAACCUGAAGAAAAUGUGUGUGAGAGAGAGCAAGAGAGAAAGCACAGAUGGAACAAGAAAUAAACCCAACAAAAGGUCCCUAAGCUUCACAUUUGUUGAUCUAAAAUCUAUAUCCUAUCCAUCCUUAUUUUUACCUCAGUAAAGUCAUACAUGGUGAUGAAAAUGUUGCAUUAGCUGCUAGCAACUAGGUUUUCAUAUAAAUGUUUUUCCUUGAUAGAGCCACCUUACAAGACUUUCCACAAAUUUGCUGCUCCCUAUUUGCAGGCAUAUAAGAAUUUUUUCAACAUCUUCAUAGUAAAUACUGAUAUAUUGCAGGUCAAAUUCCUGCAGCAUCUAUCAACAAAAUGAGCCAACAUUUAUAAAGCAGGCUGAGUGGAGGAAGGAGCCUUACAAGUAAGAAGAAAAGGAUCCCCCUCCAUUAUUUGUAAUAUAGCAAGAUAAAAAAAACUAAUAAGUUAUCAGCCAAAAAGAAUGGUCAAAUAAAAUAUGAACCAAAAACUUUUAAUAUAGCAAAAGAAUCUAAUGAAAACUUUAGUUAAAGAAUUGCAGAUGCAGGCAGCAAAUUAGGCCUAACAUACAAUUUGAAAUAUAAUGAACUACAGACAGGAGACAGAAAGAAAAGGCACAGGGAUGUGACUC